rnacentral:rRNA from 1 species
GACGAACGCUGGCGGCGUGCCUAACACAUGCAAGUCGAACGAAAACUUCGGGUCUAUUCGCGCCCGACGGCGUCACGCGUGGGAACAGUCCCAUGGGGUCAGAAUACCUCCCCGACAGGGAUACUAAUGCCGAAUAAUAUCUACUAACCAAAGAUUUAUCGACUUUGGAUGGGCCCUAGUUGGAGUCGCUAGUUGGUAGGGUAAUAGCCUACCAAGGCGACGAUCCAUAGCUGGUCACAGAGGAUGAUCAGCCACACUGGGACUGAGACACGGCCCAGACUCUUACGGGAAGGAGCAGUGGGGAAUAUUGCACAAUGGGCGAAAGCCUGAUCCAGCAAUGCCGCGUGAGCGAUGAAGUCAGUAGGGUUGUAAAGCUCUUGUAACCGUGAAGAUAAUGACAGUACCGGGACAAUAAGCCACGGCUAACUACGUG